rnacentral:rRNA from 1 species
UCUAGCCAUGGGCAGGUUGAAGGUUGGGUAACACUAACUGGAGGACCGAACCGACUAAUGUUGAAAAAUUAGCGGAUGACUUGUGGCUGGGGGUGAAAGGCCAAUCAAACCGGGAGAUAGCUGGUUCUCCCCGAAAGCUAUUUAGGUAGCGCCUCGUGAAUUCAUCUCCGGGGGUAGAGCACUGUUUCGGCAAGGGGGUCAUCCCGACUUACCAACCCGAUGCAAACUGCGAAUACCGGAGAAUGUUAUCACGGGAGACACACGGCGGGUGCUAACGUCCGUCGUGAAGAGGGAAACAACCCAGACCGCCAGCUAAGGUCCCAAAGUCAUGGUUAAGUGGGAAACGAUGUGGGAAGGCCCAGACAGCCAGGAUGUUGGCUUAGAAGCAGCCAUCAUUUAAAGAAAGCGUAAUAGCUCACUGGUCGAGUCGGCCUGCGCGGAAGAUGUAACGGGGCUAAACCAUGCACCGAAG